AGUGAACGCUGGCGGCGUGCUUAACACAUGCAAGUCGAACGAGAACGGAAUAUAGCUUGCUAUAUUUGUCAGCUAAGUGGCGCACGGGUGAGUAAUGUAUAGAUAACCUGCCCCUAAGAAAGGAAUAACAGUUGGAAACGACUGCUAAUGCCCUAUAUGCCUUUAAUACAUAACUAUGCAAGGGAAACGCUUUAGUGCUUAAGGAUGGGUCUGUAUGGUAUCAGCUUGUUGGUGAGGUAAUGGCUCACCAAGGCUAUGACGCCUAACUGGUUUGAGAGGAUGAUCAGUCACACUGGAACUGAGACACGGUCCAGACUCCUACGGGAGGCAGCAGUGGGGAAUAUUGCACAAUGGACGAAAGUCUGAUGCAGCAACGCCGCGUGGAGGAUGACACAUUUCGGUGCGUAAACUCCUUUUAUAUAGGAAGAUAAUGACGGUACUAUAUGAAUAAGCACCGGCUAACUCCGUGCCAGCAGCCGCGGUAA
rnacentral:rRNA from 1 species